UGUUUUUCUUGGCCCUAUCAGUACCCUUAACUAUUUUUGGCUAGGAUCAAGUGUGGUAUCUGUUCUUAUCAGUUUAAUAUCUGAUACGUCCUCUAUAUGAGGACUACAUAUUAAAUUGAUUAUUCUGAGUAUUCUGAGUUGCUCUAUCUGCUUCACACUUAGGGGGCAGUCGUGGGCUGGAGGUUAGGGAACCAGCC
ensembl:snRNA U2 U2 spliceosomal RNA